rnacentral:rRNA from 1 species
CCUACGGGCGGCAGCAGUGAGGAAUAUUGGUCAAUGGGCUUACGCCUGAACCAGCCAAGUCGCGUGAGGGAAGACUGCCCUAUGGGUUGUAAACCUCUUUUGUCAAGGAGCAACGCCGGCUACGUGUAGCCGGACUGAGAGUACCUGAAGAAAAAGCAUCGGCUAACUCCGUGCCAGCAGCCGCGGUAAUACGGAGGAUGCGAGCGUUAUCCGGAUUUAUUGGGUUUAAAGGGUGCGUAGGCGGAAUGCCAAGUCAGCGGUAAAAUCGCGGGGCUCAACCUCGGGACUGCCCUUGGAACUGCAUGGCUGGAGUGCGGGAGGGGCAGGCGGAAUUCCUGGUGUAGCGGUGAAAUGCGUAGAUAUCAGGAGGAACACCGGCGGCGAAGGCGGCCUGCUGGACUGCGACUGACGUUGAGGCUCGAAAGCGUGGGGAGCGAACAGGAUUAGAUACCCGUGUAGUC